UACAGAGGCCUCGAGCGUUAGGCGGAAUCACUGGGCUUAAAGCGUGUGUAGGCGGAUCCGUAAGUACUUUGUGAAAUCCCACAGCUUAACUGUGGAACUGCUUGGUAUACUGCGGGUCUUGAGCCACUCAGGGGCGAGCGGAACAAAUGGUGGAGCGGUGAAAUGCGUAGAUAUCAUUUGGAACGCCAAUGGUGAAAACAGCUCGCUGGGGGUGUGCUGACGCUGAGACACGAAAGCCAGGGGAGCGAACGGG
rnacentral:rRNA from 1 species